rnacentral:rRNA from 1 species
UACGAAGGGGGCUAGCGUUGCUCGGAAUCACUGGGCGUAAAGGGUGCGUAGGCGGGUCUUUAAAGUCAGGGGUGAAAUCCUGGAGCUCAACUCCAGAACUGCCUUUGAUACUGAGGAUCUUGAGUUCGGGAGAGGUGAGUGGAACUGCGAGUGUAGAGGUGAAAUUCGUAGAUAUUCGCAAGAACACCAGUGGCGAAGGCGGCUCACUGGCCCGAUACUGACGCUGAGGAGCGAAAGCGUGGGGGAGCGAACAGGA